rnacentral:rRNA from 1 species
AUUGAACGCUGGCGGCAGGCCUAACACAUGCCAGUCGAGCGGAUGAAGGGAGCUUGCUCCUGGAUUCAGCGGCGGACGGGCGAGUAAUGCCUAGGAAUCUGCCUGGUAGUGGGGGAUAACGUCCGGAAACGGGCGCUAAUACCGCAUACGUCCUGAGGGAGAUAGUGGGGGAUCUUCGGACCUCACGCUAUCAGAUGAGCCUAGGUCGGAUUAGCUAGUUGGUGGGGUAAAGGCCUACCAAGGCGACGAUCCGUAACUGGUCUGAGAGGAUGAUCAGUCACACUGGAACUGAGACACGGUCCAGACUCCUACGGGAGGCAGCAGUGGGGAAUAUUGGACAAUGGGCGAAAGCCUGAUCCAGCCAUGCCGCGUGUGUGAAGAAGGUCUUCGGAUUGUAAAGCACUUUAAGUUGGGAGGAAGGGCAGUAAGUUAAUACCUUGCUGUUUUGACGUUACCAACAGAAUAAGCACCGGCUAACUUCGUG